rnacentral:lncRNA from 1 species
UGCUCCAGAUACAACCAUUCACAAUAGUGGAACAAGCUUAUGCAUUAGUUUAAAGUAAGGAUUUGAGGUAAUUUGCAUGAUGACAAAGGAAGAUGAGAUAUCUGGUGGUGUUUAUAGUUUAAAAAGGUGGACAGAAAUCUCAACAUCAAUUAUUUUUUUGAUCGUCUUUGAAUGGAAAGCCAGUUACAAAACUAAAGUCAGAGUAAGAAGAAGACAACAAAUGUU